UAGGGAAUCUUCGGCAAUGGACGGAAGUCUGACCGAGCAACGCCGCGUGAGUGAAGGAGGUUUUCGGAUCGUAAAGCUCUGUUGUAAGAGAAGAACGAGUGUGAGAGUGGAAAGUUCACACUGUGACGGUAUCUUACCAGAAAGGGACGGCUAACUACGUGCCAGCAGCCGCGGUAAUACGUAGGUCCCGAGCGUUGUCCGGAUUUAUUGGGCGUAAAGCGAGCGCAGGCGGUUAGAUAAGUCUGAAGUUAAAGGCUGUGGCUUAACCAUAGUACGCUUUGGAAACUGUUUAACUUGAGUGCAAGAGGGGAGAGUGGAAUUCCAUGUGUAGCGGUGAAAUGCGUAGAUAUAUGGAGGAACACCGGUGGCGAAAGCGGCUCUCUGGCUUGUAACUGACGCUGAGGCUCGAAAGCGUGGGGAGCAAACAGGAUUAGAUACCCUGGUAGUCCACGCCGUAAACGAUGAGUGCUAGGUGUUAGGCCCUUUCCGGGGUUUAGUGCCGUAGCUAACGCAUUAAGCACUCCGCCUGGGGAGUACGACCGCAAGGUUG
rnacentral:rRNA from 1 species